AUGCACACGAUCGCCGAGGAGACCGGCGGCACCUUCUCCUUCAUCGAGGACGAGACGGUGGUGCAGGACUCGUUCGCGCAGUGCAUCGGCGGGCUCCUCUCCGUGGUCGUGCAGGACGCGCUCAUCACUGUCAAGUGCGUGCACCCAGUGCGCGUCCGGGCAGUCAAGUCCGGCCGCUACGACAGCAGCAUCGAUGCGUACGCGCGCUCCGCCUCUGUAGACGUCGGCGAGCUGUACGCGGACGAGGAGAGGCGCUUCCUGCUGCUAGUGGAUGUGCCCAAGGCCGGCGAAGCUGACGAAGUGACGCAGAUCAUGAAGGUGACCUGCACCUACCGCGACACGGCGACUCAGGGUGGACACGGUCCGGGCCGGUCCGGUCCCGGUCCGAGCCGCCACUUGGACCGGCCGCCGGCGGUCCGGUCCGGACCGGACCGAGCUGUCCAACGAGCUCCUUUUCUGGGACCGGACCGUUUGGGGGCCAGCUCGGUCAAGCCCGAGAGGACCGAAUGGACCGGCCCGUCACCUUGCCUGGCAGACUGUAUUUUGCUGCGUAUAGGUCAUAUUUAG
rnacentral:rRNA from 1 species